rnacentral:rRNA from 1 species
UACGUAGGGAGCUAGCGUUGUCCGGAAUCAUUGGGCGUAAAGCGCGCGUAGGCGGCCCGGUAAGUCCGCUGUGAAAGUCAAAGGCUCAACCUUUGAAUGUCAGCGGAUACUGCCGGGCUAGAGUCCGGAAGAGGCGAGUGGAACUCCUGGUGUAGCGGUGGAAUGCGCAGAUAUCAGGAAGAACACCAACGGCGAAGGCAGCUCGCUGGGACGGUAUUGACGCUGAGACGCGAAAGCGUGGGGAGCAAACAGG